rnacentral:sRNA from 1 species
AUAAACCGCUUUCGCAGACGCGCGGCGAUACGCUCACGCAGAGUUCCCCGCGCCAGCGGGGAUAAACCGCAGCCGAAGCCAAAGGUGAUGCCGAACACGCUGAGUUCCCCG